rnacentral:sRNA from 12 species
ACUUUAUAAAUAUGUAUUAAACGCAAGACAGUUUAGCAUAUCCCUUUAAGGUGAAUUAAAGCUAGAAACAUAAAUCGAACUCUUGUUGUGUGGCUAUUAAGUUGAAACAAGAGAUGCUUAUGUGGAAUAGGUUAACCGUAAGACCUUAAGUUAAGAAACUUUAAAAUUGAGCUUAGUAGUUUUAGAAUUAUUAAGUUGCGGUUGC